GAUGAGAAGGAGGAGGAGGAGGAGGAAAGGAUGAAGAGGAGGAGGAGGAGGAGAAAGAGUUAUAAGAACAGAAGAAGAGAAAAGGAAAGAAAAAAGGAAGAUGAUGAUGAGAAAGAGAGGAAAAAGAAAAGGAGGUGGAAAAAGAGAAGAUGAAGAGGAAGAGGAGGAAAAAGAGGAGGAGUAUAAGAACAGAAGAAGAGAAAAAAAGGAAGAAAAGAGGAUGAUGAUGAGGAAGAGGAGGAGGAAGAGAGGAAAAGGAAAAGGAGGUGGAGAAAGAGAGAAGAUGAAGAGGAAGAGGAGGAAAAAGAGAAGGAGUAUAAGAACAGAAGAAGAGAAAAGGAAAGAAAAAAGGAAGAUGAUAAUGAGGAAGAGGAGGAGGAAGAGAGGAAAAGGAAAAGGAGGUGGAAAAAGAGAAGAUGAAGAGGAAGAGGAGGAAAAAGAGUAGGAAAAAGAAGUAUAAGAGUAGGAGAUGAGAAAAAAAAGGAAGAAAAGAGGAUGAUGAUGAUGAUGAGGAAGAGGAGGAGGAAGAGAGGAAAAGGAAAAGGUGGAGAAAAAAAGAAGAUGAAGAGGAAGAGGAGGAAAAAGAGGAGGAAAAAGAGGUAUAAGAAUAGGAGAAGAGAAACAAGGAAGAAAAGAGGAUGAUGAUGAUGAUGAGGAGGAGGAGGAAGAGAGGAAAAGGAAAAGGAGGUGGAGAAAGAGAGAAGAUGAAGAUGAAGAGGAGGAAAAAGAGGAGGAAAAAGAGAUAUAAGUGUAGGAGAAGAGAAAAAAAGGAAGAAGAGAGGAUGAUGAUGAGGAGGAGGAGGAAGAGAGGAAAAAGAAAAGGUGGAGAAAAAAAGAAGAUGAAGAGGAAGAGGAGGAAAAAGAGGAGGGAAAAGAGGAGGAAAAAGAAGUAUAAGAGUAGGAGAUGAGAAAAAAAAGGAAGAAAAGAGGAUGAUGAUGAUGAUGAUGAUGAGGAGGAGGAGGAAGAGAGGAAAAAGAAAAGGUGGAGAAAAAAAGAAGAUGAAGAGGAAGAGGAGGAAAAAGAGGAGGAAAAAGAGGAGGAAAAAGAGAUAUAAGUGAAGGAGAAGAGAAAAAAAAGGAGGAACAAUUUUUUCCUUUCUUUCUACUUGCUUUUUUUUUUUUUUAACUGUGUCUUGAUAGAAAUUCCACACACGCUCACGUCAGUCACACGGCUCUUACGUAACACAAACACACACACACACACACACACACACACACACACACACACACACACACACAUACACAAGCACAGAUAUAAAGAGUAGUCAUCUGUAUAUCACAUGGCGAAGUACACAGUCAGGUAUUCAAGUGAUGCUGUGUUUGACAAGGACUCACAUACACACACACACACACACACACACACACACAGAGACACUCACUCACACACAAGACAGGACUCCACUAUUCAUCUUCCUUAUAAAAACGGUGCGUGUCGUUACUGAAUGCCUUGGGGAACACCUCGGGACCACUUCCCUGCACUUCCAGCAUAGCAAUGAAGUCCUGAAGGCGAUAUUUGAAGGUCAGGAGAGACGUGACCUCAAACUCCACUGCAUAGGAAAAUGGUGUUCGAUGCCCUUCAAGGCUACAUCCGAUCCUAUAAGCACGGGAUUUGUCAGCUAUUUGCAUUGUAUAAGGUGUCUGAUCCCCGUUCACGGUUGCAAGCUAAGUCUAAUCCUACAUAUAUGGGAUUUGUGGCGUAAUUACAAUAAGGUGUUCAAUUCCCUACACGACUGAAAGCUUAUUUCGAUCCUAUUAACAUGGUAUUUUUCACCCAUUUGCAUUGUAUAAGGUGUUCAAUUCCCUUCACGACUACAAGUUUAAUUCGAUCCUAUUAACAUCGCAUUUGUCACCUAACUGCACUGUAUAAGGUGUUCAAUUCCCUUUUAGUCUACAAGCUGAAUUAUUAUCCUGUCAACACGCCAUUUGUCACGUAACGAUAAGGUGUUGAAUUCCCUUCCGAAGGUUUUAAGCAUAGAAAAGAAGCCUUGAACCCUUUUCCAACAACUGAUGAGAUUUAAAGGCUUAUAAAAAGGGGUGAGGCUAAGCUGUCGCAUGGAAAGAAGGAUAAUAUCAGGAAUGAAGGGAAGGGACACUUGAAAAUAACGUAGUCUUGGUAAUUCAGGAAGGAUGGAAGUGGAUGUCUGGAGUAGAGGAAUGUUAGGCUGUAUGCAAAUGAACAGAAUAUCAGGAAAACAAGGAAGAGAAAGAACAAACAUGAUAUCAAGAAUGCAAGGAAGGUAUACACUUGAAAAUAACGGAGUCUGAAGAAUGCAAGACUUAUGGAAGUGGAUAUGUCCGCAGUAGAGGAAUGUUAGGCUGUGUGCAAAUGAACAGAAUAUCAGGAAAACAAGGAAGAGAAAGAACAAACAUGAUAUCAAGAAUGCAAGGAAGGUAUACACUUGAAAAUAACGGAGUCUGAGGAAUGCAAGACUUAUGGAAGUGGAUAUGUCCGUAGUAGAGGAAUGUUAGGCUGUGUGCAAAUGAACAGAAUAUCAGGAAAACAAGGAAGAGAAAGAACAAACAUGAUAUCAAGAAUGCAAGGAAGGUAUACACUUGAAAAUAACGGAGUCUGAGGAAUGCAAGACUUAUGGAAGUGGAUAUGUCCGUAGUAGAGGAAUGUUAGGCUGUGUGCAAAGGAACAGGAUAUCAGGAAAACAAGGAAAAGAAAGAUAAAACAUGAUAUCAAGAAUGCAAGGAAGUUAUACACUUGAAAAUAACGGAGUCUGAGGAAUGCAAGACUGAUGGAAGUGGAUAUGUCCGUAGAAGAAGGAAUGUUAGCCUGUGUGCAAAUGAACAGGAUAUCAGGAAAGCAAGGAAGGAAAAGAACAAACAGAAUCCCAAGAAUGCAAGGAGGGUGCCACUAUGAAAUAACGUAAUAUUGUCAAUUCAGGAGCGAUGGAAGUGGAAAUGCCCGUAGUAGAGCGAUGCAGGCCUGGUCCAACCUUGCCAGAUUCUCGUACUAACCCUUAAAUGUUUACUGAUUUCCAACCCCAAAACUGUCCCCUCCACCCCACUAACUGCCUUGGUAUAUGGUUAACGUUAAAAUGGUCAAUUAUUGCUGUUUCUUGGCAGUAGUUAUGGGGCAGAAACCGGUAAAUAUGAUGCUUCGAGUACGACAAUCUGGGAUCGCUGGCCUGGUUAAAGUACGACUCAACAAACAAUCAAAAUGCAAACAAACGUGACUUGAUAUAAACUGAACGGUCAAACGGUGAAAAUAAUACCCAGGAGAGAACGACAGACGAUGAGACGAAGAAAACAAGUGAUGAAUGGUAUAAGAGAGGAAUGCAGAAAUAUUUAACGUAGACGUAAAAUAAAGAGUUGAGAUGCAUGUGAGGGAAAAAGAAAAAUAGACGUAGAUUGGACUAGAGAGAAAGUUGGAACGUUGAAAAUUAUAAAACAAGAAUGGUAGACGAAAAUUAGUGAUGGAAGGAUGAUAGAAUAGAGAAAUGUAGGGAUAUUUAAGGGAAAGAUGGAAUGUUGAAAAUUAUAAGAAAACCGAGAAUGAUAUAGACGAAAAUAACAGAUGCAGGUAAAUAUUUGCAGUUACAUAAAGAGAAAGUUAGAUAAUUGUGCUGAGAAACAGAAAAAAAUAGAUGAAUUUGCACGUAGAUAAAAAAAAAAGUUAAAGAAUAUUGAAAUGCUUAAAAGAUAAACAGAUAUAUAUUAGUACUGAUACAAACACGAAGAGUCAAACGAAACUAAGAUAAAGAACAUCCAAAAUACUAAAAAAAGAAAAGAAAAAAGAUGGAUAGAUUUACUGAGAUAGAAAGAAACCAAAAUGAAUAGAGAAAAAAAAAACUACAUUGAAACAAACAAUAUAAGGAAAAAAUACACAAUAAGAAGAUGGAGAAAAAAGAGAGAAAAAAAAAAAACCAGAUUCACUCACACAAAAAUAAGAAAAAAACAAAACAGAAACAAAACUAACAUAUCUACCUGUGUGAGUGUGUAUGUAUGUAAGUAUAAAUGUAUGUAUGUAUGUAUGUAUGUAUGUAUGUAUAAUCUCCCUACCCCUCCCCU